rnacentral:rRNA from 1 species
GUGUCAGCCGCCGCGGUAAUACGAAGGUCCCAAGCGUUGUUCGGAUUUACUGGGCGUAAAGAGUCUGUAGGCGGCGGGGUAAGUCAGAUGUGAAAUCCCGGGGCUCAACCCCGGAACUGCAUCCGAUACUGCCUUGCUAGAGUAUUGGAGGGGAGCCUGGAAUUCUCGGUGUAGCAGUGAAAUGCGUAGAUAUCGAGAGGAACACUAGUGGCGAAGGCGAGGCUCUGGACAAUUACUGACGCUGAGAGACGAAGGUCAGGGGAGCGAAAAGGAUUAGAUACCCGCGUAGUCC